CGAAAUGAUGAUUCUCUUGGAAUCUCGUUCGUCUGAACCUUCUGCUGAGAAUUAAUUUUGCUGACCGUU